AACGAACGCUGGCGGCAGGCCUCAAACAUGCAAGUCUAGGGGGUGCAGCAAUGCAUCACCGGCGGACGGGUGCGUAACGCGUGGGAAUAUACCUAUUGGUUCGGAACAACUGCGGGAAACUGCAGCUAAUACCGAAUGUGCCCUAACGGGGAAAGAUUUAUCGCCAAUGGAUUAGCCCGCGUAGGAUUAGCUAGUUGGUGGGGUAAUGGCUCACCAAGGCUCCGAUCCUUAGCUGUUCUGAGAGGAAGAUCAGCCACACUGGGACUGAGACACGGCCCAGACUCCUACGGGAGGCAGCAGUUGGGAAUCUUGGACAAUGGGGGAAACCCGUGAUCCAGCCAUGCCGCGUGAGUGAUGAAGG
rnacentral:rRNA from 1 species